rnacentral:piRNA from 1 species
UACACUGUGGAAGGAAGAGUCCU